AGGACGAACGCUGGCGGCGCGCCUAAUACAUGCAAGUCGAGCGAGAACCGGGACUUCGGUCCCGGGGACAGCGGCGAACGGGUGCGUAACACGUGAGCAACCUGCCCCGAAGACCGGGACAAGCCGGGGAAACCUGGUCUAAUACCGGAUGUCCUCACCGAAUCGCAUGGUCUGGUGAGGAAAUGGAUUCCGCUUCGGGAUGGGCUCGCGGUCUAUCAGCUUGUUGGUGGGGUAAUGGCUCACCAAGGCAACGACGGAUAGCUGGUCUGAGAGGACGAUCAGCCACACUGGGACUGAGACACGGCCCAGACUCCUACGGGAGGCAGCAGUAGGGAAUCUUGCGCAAGUGGGGAAACCCUGGACGCAGCGACGCCGCGUGCGGAUGAAGGCCUUCGGGUUGUAAACCGCUUUCAGCAGGACGAAAUUGACGUACCUGACAGAAGAACGGACCGCAACGUACGUGCCAGCACGCCGAC
rnacentral:rRNA from 1 species